GAUGUAUUUGGACACAUCCUAGGAGUUGACCAGUAGUGUGCACCCCAGCUAUGGAACAGAGAUCAGAAGAGGACUGGCCUUGGAGCUGCUCCUCUCCGUGGAAAUGUUUACAGCCGGUGAAACUGGGGGUGCUGAGGGCAUAGCAGUGGAGAGUGGCGACCCUACCCCUCUCCAUCAGCUGAUUCCGCUCCUGCCUUGGCUCCUAGUGGCAUCAGAGGUCACCAGGGAAAUGGAUAGAUCUGAUGUGCUUUGGUGGAAAGGGAGCUGGACUCUCAGUGAUGAAGUUUAGUGCUUUGAGUUUUAUGUGUGAACCCUGCCACUCCUUUGCUAUGUGAGAGACUGAAGAAUUGGUGAGAAAAAAAAAAUAAGAAAGAAAUAAGGGUAAGAUAAUGAAAUUCUGUCUGUCCUUACCUUAUGAUUUAUAUAGAGCUUUCUGUCUGUUGAAAAGCUUCUAGAAAAAGAUAGAUAUGAGCUG
rnacentral:lncRNA from 1 species